CGGGUGCAUUUAAUUUCAAAUGAAUUCUGUUAGAGAGAAAUAAUUUCCUAUCACUGUUCUUUUCCUCCUUAAGGCUCGUUUUGGGUUAAGAUGGUCCGUUAUUAUCGAUUUCUUUUCUUGUGGUUGAUGGCAGCAUUCUCGGAAGGUUCCUGUGGGUGCCUCAAUAAAAUAUAACUUUGUUUACUCUGUGCGAAUGGCUAGUAUGAUUAGCGCUGGUUGCAACGGCGGUUUCCUUACGGAAUGCAGGGGUUCACGAUAAAAAAUAAAAUCAAUUACAAACGAAAGUGAACCAACGCCUGGUGAGUCUGUAGUACGGUAGAGUCCAUAAAGUGGAUACCUCGCAGGGUAUGCAGGGUCGUUAUGAUAAAAAAACAUAAAAUGUAGAGAGUCUUAUAACAACAACACUUUAGGGACUGCUGCAGAAAAUUUAUUGAUCGACAUGUUUCGGUGCCUAGGGCACCGUCAUCAGGAUAAAAACAAUACAUAAAAUCAUGUUGAAGUACAAAAUCGGGUUGUUAAAAUUUAAACGUCACAAUGUUACAAUGGUAAGUAACGUUAUUAAUAGCAACGUACUGAAAGUGAAAGUGAAAGUUCAUUGCAAGUAUGUAAAUAAACUAUAAAAAG
rnacentral:lncRNA from 1 species